rnacentral:snRNA from 1 species
GUGCUCGUUUCGGCAGCACAUAUACUAAUAUUGGAACGAUACAGAGAAGAUUUAGCAUGGUCCCUGAGCAAGGAUGACAUGCAAGUUCAUGAAGUGUUCCAUAUUUUU